AAGUCGUAACAAGGUUUCCGUAGGUGAACCUGCGGAAGGAUCAUUAACACGUUAUCCACGUACCUACCAACCGAGAGACGUUUCACCCUCCCUUUGCAGAGAAUGAAUGGAAAGCAUCCGGCCUUGAUGGGCUAUAGACUUUUGUCGGCGGCACCGGAUCGCAACACUUUAUAUGGAUCGAAAGUGAAGUAUAAGACAUUGAAUUUCUGUUAAAGGCCAAUUAAUCCCAUUUGCCGUCUACCAUCAUAGGCUUUGCGAAUGGGAUCCCCAAUUAUUAACUAUAUUCACCCCUUUUUGCUAGUUGACUUUAUCUGUGUUACUUCUUCAUUGAGGUACACACGUUAUUAAUCUAACGUUAAAAUAAUACAACUCUUAGCAAUGGAUAUCUUGGUUCUC
rnacentral:misc_RNA from 1 species